UGGUGAUAAUUCCGUGACAGUUGGAAGAUGGGGUUCGUUCUUCCGGUUCAGGAAUCACUAUGUAUUUCCUUCUUGUGAUAAAAAUAAAAUUACGAGAAGGCAAUGUGAGGUUUUAGUACAUCAUAGCACUUUAUUUUAUGAAAACAUGUAGCAGAUUUUCCACAAAAAUGCUUAUUUUUAGUCCAAAAGUAUAUUGCUUCAUAAUGGUAUUCAGUGCACAGCAGAGUAAAAGAAGUUAAUUCAUGAUGUACUGGUUAAUUUUGCAUGGCUUCUUAAGGCCAGCAAAAUGCUGGCAGUUUUCUUUAUCUUUGUGAAGAACAGGCCCUUCCUGUUUGGGGAAGUUGGCUUUUAUGUCAGCUCUUGGCCAGUGGUCACUUCCAAGCCUGGUGUCUCCAGCCCUGUAGUCUGUAGUGCCAGACUGUGCUGGCCUGGAGAGUGCUGGGGCAGGUGGAGGCCAGGGAAUGGUCCCAUACAGUUAUCUCCCCUGCCCUGGUUACAGACAGCUUCGAGAACCAGAGGAGAAGAGCAUAGGGUCAUGGAGCAGGUGGGCUGAAGCCAGGGCCACAGGGAGCAAUCCGUGACCCCCCAAGGUGGGUGUGGGGGGGGGCGUGUCACCUUAGGGAACUCAGUGAGUCCGAAGAACAAUGUGAAAUGUUGGGAAAAGAGAAGAGGAAUUUGAUGUCAGCCGGGGUGAUCCCUGAGGUGGAGGCCUGUCUCUGAUGGCAUGAGCUCUAAGAGGGUCCUGGAGGGUUGGUACAUCCUAGAACAUUCCAGUUAGCCCUCUUUUAGGGGAAAUUGGCAUAGGAUUGAUGCAGAAGGCAUUUUUGAUGAUGGGACCAAAAUUCAAGUCUCCUUGGUAGCAUUCUAGGAUCAGCUAGAUCCUAGGAUCUGGUAGAUUGUAGGAUUCUAGUGGGUAGAGGCCAGGGGUGCUAUAAAGCAUCCUGCAGUGCACAGGAUGGUCCCACAAGAGAGGCUGAUCCGGCCCAGAAUGUCAGUGCUGAGCCUGAGAAACUCAUCUAAGGCCUGGUCCACAACAGUAACGUGACUGUUCGCUCGUGACAACUUCAGAUGGUAAAUGGACUUAGGAUUGUAUUAUUUUAUUUAAAAGAAAAAUAAGGAGCUGGUUUUUCAGCCGGGUUCCUUUCCCCUAUGCACUGGAAUACCCCUGGUAGGUGUGAGCUGCAUGCAAUUGUGGGGAUUCAGCACUGAAAUCUAGGUGCUUUUGUUUUCUCCAGCAGCCUCGUCUUACAGCGUGACUGCAAAGAAAAAGACUUUUGUUUUGCAAAAGAAAAGCAGCUUGGUGACUCCGUCCACAUCGCCACAGUUGAGUCAGAUGGCAGUGGCAGUCCUUUGCCAGUGGAAGGAGUUCCUGCUUAGGGGAGGUGCAGGAGAACUAAUUUAUUAUUGUGCAACUGCCAGUCCUGCGCAUUCCAGCUACGCUAAGUGCCCUGCCCAGGCAUGUAACAAAACAUAGACCUGUUUUGAAGUGGCUUGUUACCCAAGGGUGCCUCACUCUCAUCUGCACCACCAGGAAGGUGAACUGUGAGGGCUCCUAUAAGGGGCAGGAGGAGCAAAGCUGUCUUAGGCCAACCAGAGAUUCAUCUUUCAUGCAGUGACAUGUUGAUAAAAAAUGAUGGAAGUACCACCAAGAACAGGGAAGGACAAGCCAGAGGCUGGAGGAAGAUACUUGCAGAACACAGACCUGACAAAGGAUCAGUAUCAAAACAUAUAAGAAUUUUGACAAAUUAAUAAAAAGAGUACAAAUAACCCAACAUAAAGUCAAAAGGUGUGAUCAGGCAUUUCACAGAAGCAAACACCUUUGGUGGAUGCCCAUGAGGAGAGGCUCAGUCACAUCAGUGCCCAGGAGAUGCAAACCCAGAUCCCAGGGGUGUGCAUCCCACCCGUUCUGCCUGCAGGAUCUGCAAACCCGGCAAAACCUAGUUCUAGAGAGACUGGAUUCACUGCAUGUCUUCAUCACUGCUGGAGGGAGUGCAGACUGCUAUCGCCUCUUAGAAAAUGACUUAGUUCUCAUGUAAUUUGGGCAUUCACACAUCCUCAUCCUAGAUCCAGCUUUUCCACUCCCGCACACGUACUGGAAAACGUGUACAGGAACAUCCACUGCAGCACUGCUCAUACCAAACACAACCUACAUGUUCUCUGCACAGAGAGGGGAGAAGAGCCGGUCAGUUCACUCAGUGGACUCUGUGCUCAAUAGUGGGUGUGAAUAAGCCGCAGCCGCCCAGACCGCAUGGGCCAACCUCAGUC
rnacentral:sRNA from 1 species